CACUGCAUCAACAACACGAGUGAUAAAUUCAAUGGGAGUUGUACAAGCAAGUGCUCGGAUUCAUUUCAUGGUGGAAAGUGUGAUCAAGCUUCAGAUCGGACAUCAGACGCAGCACAAGAAUGCGAUCUUCCCGCUUCCUGGAUUGUUGGAUUCACCGUAUCUGUAACACUGAAUGUGUUUUUCAUCAUCAUUGGCUUUAUCAAGUUAAGACAAAGAUCAAU